UAGGGAAUCUUCGGCAAUGGACGAAAGUCUGACCGAGCAACGCCGCGUGAGUGAAGAAGGUUUUCGGAUCGUAAAACUCUGUUGUUAGAGAAGAACAAGGACGUUAGUAACUGAACGUCCCCUGACGGUAUCUAACCAGAAAGCCACGGCUAACUACGUGCCAGCAGCCGCGGUAAUACGUAGGUGGCAAGCGUUGUCCGGAUUUAUUGGGCGUAAAGCGAGCGCAGGCGGUUUCUUAAGUCUGAUGCGAAAGCCCCCGGCUCAACCGGGGAGGGUCAUUGGAAACUGGGAGACUUGAGUGCAGAAGAGGAGAGUGGAAUUCCAUGUGUAGCGGUGAAAUGCGUAGAUAUAUGGAGGAACACCAGUGGCGAAGGCGGCUCUCUGGUCUGUAACUGACGCUGAGGCUCGAAAGCGUGGGGAGCAAACAGG
rnacentral:rRNA from 1 species